CCUGAGCCCCCGCCACGGCGGCCCCGGUACCCGCGGCCUGGCCGCGCGCCGGGUCCCCACCGCGGAGUGGGAAGGAGGAGGAGAGACUGGAGGAGUUGGAGACAGACACAGCCGCGGCGCGCAGUCACGGCUGGAGACAGACGGCGGCGACGGCGGCGGGAGGCGGGACACUCCCCCCUCCGGCGACUGGAGGCGGGACACCUCCCCGGCGGCCGCAGCGCCGCGUCCCCUCUCUCCCCGCGCUGAGGCUGCGGACCGGGCCCGGCGGGAUUAGCAGCGGUUCAAGCUCUACGUUCGUGACAUCAAACCUCCUGUUGGGCCAUUUCCGAGAACUCCCAUCAGUUUCUGUAUAGUGUAAAAGUUUCAGAGGCGGAGCACAGAGAGCUGCGGCUGGGACAAGGAGCACCCGCGUGCAGGUGCGACCCUGCAGGAUGCUGGCAGCGGCGUGGCCAGGGGCGCCCGUGUUCUGAGGGCCUGAGGGCCAGCCCCUCCACCCGCGCCAUGGCCUCCGCGCCCUGGCUGGACGGCUGACGGGAGCAGGGACCGCCGCCGCCCAGGUGCCACACCCAGGUACCGCCCGCCCGCGCGAGAGCCGGGC
rnacentral:lncRNA from 1 species